rnacentral:rRNA from 1 species
GACGAACCGAGCGAACGUUAUUCGGAAUCACUGGGCUUAAAGGGCGCGUAGGCGGCCUGCUAAGUCGAACGUGAAAUCCCCGGGCUCAACCCGGGAACUGCGUCCGAUACUGGCAGGCUUGAAUCCGGGAGAGGGAUGUGGAAUUCCAGGUGUAGCGGUGAAAUGCGUAGAUAUCGUAAGGAAGACCAGUGGCGAAGGCGGGUCUCUGGACAGUUCCUGGACGCUGA